GACGAACGCUGGCGGCGUGCCUAAUACAUGCAAGUCGAACGCACAGUUUAUACCGUAGCUUGCUACACCAUAGACUGUGAGUUGCGAACGGGUGAGUAACGCGUAGGUAACCUGCCUGGUAGCGGGGGAUAACUAUUGGAAACGAUAGCUAAUACCGCAUAAUAUUAAUUAUUGCAUGAUAAUUAAUUGAAAGGUGCAAUUGCACCACUACCAGAUGGACCUGCGUUGUAUUAGCUAGUAGGUGAGGUAACGGCUCACCUAGGCGACGAUACAUAGCCGACCUGAGAGGGUGAUCGGCCACACUGGGACUGAGACACGGCCCAGACUCCUACGGGAGGCAGCAGUAGGGAAUCUUCGGCAAUGGACGAAAGUCUGACCGAGCAACGCCGCGUGAGGGAAGAAGGGUUUCGGAUCGUAAAGCUCGGUUGUAAGAGAAGAACGGGUGUGAGAGUGGAAAGUUCACACUGUGACGGUAUCUUACCAGAAAGGGACGGCUAACUACGUG
rnacentral:rRNA from 1 species